UCGGGUGUGGUGCACGGUGCACGGCGGCUCCAUUUAGGGGUUCAACGAAACAUGUAAGCCGCAGACCGGGGUUCGACUCCCCGCGCCCGAA